rnacentral:sRNA from 1 species
ACUGGGCGUGGUGGUGCAUACCUGUAAUCCCAGCAGCUCUGGAGGCUGAGGCAGGAGGAUGGUGAGUGCAAAGCCAGCCUCAGCAACUCAGUGAGACCCCGUCUCUA